rnacentral:misc_RNA from 1 species
AUUAGACUGAGAAACCUCCUGAGCUAUCUGCCUUAGCUGGCGCAGAGCCGCCAUUGUUGUCUUUUGAGCUAGCAAUGUUGAUGACUCAUAAAGUGGGCGCAACACUUCAGGCACACUCCAAGGCUCCAAGUCCACAUGAUCUACUACAUGAAUAAUUGAUCCACCUCCUUCACAAGGUCUAAUCAGAUACCCACUAGGUAGCAUUUCAGCCCUCACAAAAUGCUGUGUAGGUGGCAUACUUGGACCAUUCUGAGUGUUGUUAAGUGAUCUCUCACAAACCACAAGACUACCAU